rnacentral:rRNA from 1 species
UCUGGUUGAUCCUGCCGGACCUGACUGCUAUCGGAUUGAUACUAAGCCAUGCAAGUCUUUGUAGUAAUACAAGGCAUACGGCUCAGUAACGCGUAGUCAACCUACCCUAUGGAUGGGGAUAAUCUCGGGAAACUGAGCAUAAUACCCAACAGAUCAUCAAUUCUGGAAUGGUUGAUGAUUCAAAUGAUUUUUCGCCAUAGGAUGGGACUGCGGCCUAUCAGCUUGUUGGUGAGGUAAUGGCCCACCAAGGCAAUUACAGGUACGGGCUCUGAGAGGAGAAGCCCGGAGAUGGGUACUGAGACAAGGACCCAGGCCCUAUGGGGCGCAGCAGGCGAGAAAACUUUGCAAUGUGCGAAAGCACGACAAGGUUAAUCCGAGUGAUUUCUGCUAAAGGAAUCUUUUACCAGUUCUAAAAAUACUGGCGAAUAAGGGGUGGGCAAGUUCUGGUGUCAGCCGCCGCGGUAAAACCAGCACCUCAAGUGGUCAGGAGGAUUAUUGGGCCUAAAGCAUCCGUAGCCGGCUCUGUAAGUUUUCGGUUAAAUCUAUAUGCUCAACGUAUAGGCUGCCGAAAAUACUGCACAGCUAGGGAAUGGGAGAGGUAGACGGUACUCGGUAGGAAGGGGUAAAAUCCUUUGAUCUAUCGAUGACCACCUGUGGCGAAGGCGGUCUACCAGAACAUGUUCGACGGUGAGGGAUGAAAGCUGGGGGAGCAAACCGGAUUAGAUACCCGGGUAGUCCCAGCUGUAAACGAUGCAGACUCGAUAAUGCACUGGCACAUAGCCAGUGCAGUGUCGCAGGGAAGCCGUUAAGUCUGCCGCCUGGGAAGUACGUACGCAAGUAUGAAACUUAAAGGAAUUGGCGGGGGAGCACCACAAGGGGUGAAGCCUGCGGUUCAAUUGGACUCAACGCCGGAA